GACGAACGCUGGCGGCGUGCUUAACACAUGCAAGUCGAACGAGACGAUUUAGAAGCUUGCUUUUAUUGAGUCGAGUGGCAAACGGGUGAGUAACGCGUAAGCAACCUGCCCUUCAGAUGGGGACAACAGCUGGAAACGGCUGCUAAUACCGAAUACGUUCUUUUUGUCGCAUGGCAGAGGGAAGAAAGGGAGGCUCUUCGGAGCUUUCGCUGAGAGGGGCUUGCGUCUGAUUAGCUAGUUGGAGGGGUAACGGCCCACCAAGGCGACGAUCAGUAGCCGGUCUGAGAGGAUGAACGGCACAUU
rnacentral:rRNA from 1 species